rnacentral:rRNA from 1 species
GAUGAACGCUGGCGGCGUGCCUAAUACAUGCAAGUCGAGCGAACAGACGAGGAGCUUGCUCCUCUGACGUUAGCGGCGGACGGGUGAGUAACACGUGGAUAACCUACCUAUAAGACUGGGAUAACUUCGGGAAACCGGAGCUAAUACCGGAUAAUAUAUUGAACCGCAUGGUUCAAUAGUGAAAGACGGUUUUGCUGUCACUUAUAGAUGGAUCCGCGCCGCAUUAGCUAGUUGGUAAGGUAACGGCUUACCAAGGCGACGAUGCGUAGCCGACCUGAGAGGGUGAUCGGCCACACUGGAACUGAGACACGGUCCAGACUCCUACGGGAGGCAGCAGUAGGGAAUCUUCCGCAAAGGGCGAAAGCCUGACGGAGCAACGCCGCGUGAGUGAUGAAGGUCUUCGGAUCGUAAAACUCUGUUAUUAGGGAAGAACAAAUGUGUAAGUAACUAUGCACGUCUUGACGGUACCUAAUCAGAAAGCCACGGCUAACUGCGUG